GGGGUUGUGGCUCAGUUGUAGAGUGCUUGCCUGACAUGUAUGAGGUCCUGGGUUUGAUCCCCAACACCA
rnacentral:tRNA from 1 species